UGAAGGCCUACCAAGGCGACGAUCUGUAGCUGGUCUGAGAGGAUGAUCAGCCACACUGGGACUGAGACACGGCCCAGACUCCUACGGGAGGCAGCAGUGGGGAAUAUUGGACAAUGGGCGAAAGCCUGAUCCAGCCAUGCCGCGUGUGUGAAGAAGGCCUUUUGGUUGUAAAGCACUUUAAGUGGGGAGGAAAAGCUUAUGGUUAAUACCCAUAAGCCCUGACGUUACCCACAGAAUAAGCACCGGCUAACUCUGUGCCAGCAGCCGCGGUAAUACAGAGGGUGCAAGCGUUAAUCGGAAUUACUGGGCGUAAAGCGCGCGUAGGUGGUUAUUUAAGUCAGAUGUGAAAGCCCCGGGCUUAACCUGGGAACUGCAUCUGAUACUGGAUAACUAGAGUAGGUGAGAGGGGAGUAGAAUUCCAGGUGUAGCGGUGAAAUGCGUAGAGAUCUGGAGGAAUACCGAUGGCGAAGGCAGCUCCCUGGCAUCAUACUGACACUGAGGUGCGAAAGCGUGGGUAGCAAACAGGAUUAGAUACCCUGGUAGUCCACGCCGUAAACGAUGUCUACCAGUCGUUGGGUCUUUUAAAGACUUAGUGACGCAGUUAACGCAAUAAGUAGACCACC
rnacentral:rRNA from 1 species